CCAAAGUUUUUUUCUUUUCCUACUGCCCCAACCAUUGUAGCUUGUGUUGCUGAUUUAUCUCUCCAGUUACGCUAGAUUUUUGUUUUGUUUGGAUAAUUUUCUUUCUUGAAUAUAGCAAGCCAUGCAUAAUGAAUUUGAGAACAGAAAUGAAAGAUGAGUGAGCUUAUCUCAGUUUUGCUGAAACUGUGUUGCUUUGUUAAAUUACACAUUUAAAAAUUUGUUGUGCAGGAAGUUGGAUGCAACCAUGCUCAGAGUGUUGGGUUUUCAACGGAUGGAUUUGCAACAACACAUACUAUGAGAAAACUGCACCUCAUAUGGGUGACUUCUCGCAUGCAGAUUGAAAUUUACAAGUAUCCUGCUUGGUAGUAACCACACCACUCAUUUUGCAUUCAUCAGUCAAAGCAAUGGGCUUUUUCUCUUUUAUAUGUGUUUCAUGUGGGGAGUCUCUGUGACAGGAGUGAUGUAGUUGAAAUUGAGACGUGGUGUCAAAGUGAAGGAAGAAUUGGUACUAGACGUGAUUGGAUCCUUAAAGACUAUGCCAAUGGUGAAGUCAUCGGAAGAGCCACCAGGUGAAUUUUCAUAUUGACUGCAAGAGGCUAAGACCAGCGAGAUGGUGUGCAUCAUGCACCUUAAAUCAGAUGUCUAUUUAGCCCAACAUUGUGAACCUGCUGAUCUUUUUUGCAUUGUCUAGGUUUUAUUGUUUGGCUUUUUAAGAAAUUCUUCAUUCACAGUUUAUAAUCAUGUUGUGAGAUUUCCUACCGUAUAUAUGGUUACAUGGUAUAAGUUCUGAUCUUGUGUUUCAGACCUGUUACAUAACUGGAUUUGAUUAUGAUUUCUAUUGCAGCAAGUGGGUAAUGAUGAACCAAGACACAAGAAGGCUUCAGAAAGUGACUGAUGAUGUCCGUCCGUGAUGAGUAUUUAAUCUACUGCCCAAAAGCACCUAGGUGGCCUCCUUGACCCUCAUUACCUGUGUCAUACUACUAAGUUUCAGUAUUGGAAUUAUCAUAUGCCAUGUGAUGAGUGCAACCACUAUUUAUUAGCCAAGUUUCAGUAUUGGAAUUAUUGCUUGCAAAACAUGUGGCCAUGAAAAGUUGCUCCUCAUCUUGUUCAUCAACCAUCUGAGCGUGAUGUUCUCUUUUUCCUUUAUUUUUGCAAACUCUCUCCAUAUGUCCUAUUUGCUUACAAAACCUACAUUAAAUGUCAGGUCUAAACCAAUAAUAUAUUGAAAGAUGUGAGGUUUUCUUACAGUGUGGACACGGAGGAUUUUUGUCAUUUUUCUUCUCAUCUUUGCUAUUUUUUUCUUGAUCAUUUCUUUUACCUUGUCGAAUUUGAUCCUUAUUUAUUGCUUGAAAAGCACCUUCAAUAAUUUCUUCAAUUCUUAUGGCUCGUCUGUGUUCUUGUGCCUCUAGAGCAUUGAUCAAUUCUAGCAAGGUCAUCCGAGAGAGAUCUUUUGAAUCUUCAAGAGAAGAAAUCUUGGUUUUAAACCUUUCUAGUAAACUCACCAAGACUUUCUCCAUAACUCUGCUAUUUGGAAGUUGUUCUCUAAUCAAUCUGAUUUUGUUCACAACAUUUAAGAGUAUGUUAGAAUACUCUUUAAUGUUUUCUUUGUCUUUCAUCCUAAGGAGUUCAAAUUCUCUCUUAAGGCUCAAAACUUACAUCUGCCUUGUUCUGUCAUUGCCUUGAAAAGCUACUUUGAAAGCAUCCCAAGAUUCUUUUACAGUUUCACAAGUCAUAAUUUUUGUGAAUACUGCAUCGGAAACUGCUAAAUGAAUGCAAGUUAUGAUUUUUUAUCUCCUUUUGACUGCAUCUCUAUGGGCUCUCAUCUCUGCAAUAGUUGGAUCUUCUGAUAAUUCAGAAACAGGAUCUGUCUCUACCACAUCCCAAAGAUCAUUAGCAUCCAAAUAGGACUUCAUUUUGAUAGUCCAGAUUUGGUAAUUUUCACCAGUAAAACUUGGAGGAUUGGACAAGAAGCUAUGUUUUCAGAACCGGACCGGAUAUCGACUCGGCCGAGGUCAGGGGUUAGGGGUCAAUGGGUUCGACCGGGGGUCGAUAGGGGUCGAAUCGGAUGAUGUCAUAAAUAAAAAUUAUUUAAAAAUUAAAUUAUUGUAUAUAAAAUAUCCAAUAACAUAUUGAUAUUAAUAAAGGUAUAUUCAUAUAUAUUUGAUGUUUCAAAUAUAUUUGAUGUUUCAAAUAUAUUUAACAAGAAAAUACAAAAAAAUUAGAACAAUCAAGUAACAAUUUAUAUUAUUUAAUAAACAUUAACAAGUUUAGAAUUAAAAUUAUGGAUUUAAUUGAAAAAUAACAUCAAAUUUUAGGACAAUAUUUAUAAACUAUGAAAUAUUUGAGGUAUAUUAAUAAGUUUUCAUAAUUUAGGGGGCCAAAACAUAAUAUUAAAAAAGUUUGAACUUUUUUUACAAAAGCUCCUGUUGGACCGAUUUUUCCCGUUUUGUACCGGUCAAACCCGGUUUUUGACCGGAGUUGACCGGGUCUUGAAUCUCCCGGUUCUGAUGACCAACUCGGACCGGACACUUGGCCGGUUCCCGGUUCAACCGGUCGGACCGGCCGGUCCGGUCCGAGUUUGAAAACACAGACAAGAAGUUGUUUCCUGACAUUUUGAUGUUGAGGGCUUUAGUGUGAAAAAGGAAUUUUCACCAGAUUCACUCACUCUCAAAGAAACAGACCCUUAAGAUUUAGGCUCUUGAUAUCAUUUUGUUGGCUUUUUGGAACAUAAACUAAGAAAUAACACUUUAGUGUUGCAAAAAAAAAACUUAUAAGAAACUUGUAUUGAAGGUGAAAUGAGCUUCUGUUCUACAUAUAUCAAUUCACUAUUUAUAGUGAUUACAUGAAACAAACUAACAAAAUAUCUAACUAACAAUUAUUCUAAAAAUCUCAACAAAAUAUAAUCUUCUACUACUAGCAAAUCUUAGUUAAUAUAUUUGUUAACAAAUCAACAUGAUCUUUGGUUAACAAAUAUUCUUAUUUUUUAAUAACUAAAUUAUUUUGAUAUCAAACUCAAUCUGAUAAAAUCUGUAGGAAAAGUUGGCAUAUCUCAAUAUGCUCAAACACGAAAAGGAAAAUCAAACAUAUUUCAAAUACUCCACACAAAAAGGUCCUGGCUUCCAGCCGGUUCAUUCCUGUAACCAAACUGCAUGUAUCGACUAAUGCACUUGAUUUGCUUGAUGUCGCUUACUCCAUCCUCUGUUCUGCUUUUUCUCUUCCAAUCAACAAAUGUUCGAGAUACGCUAAUCAAGCUAUAAAAUCUGCUCAAGCGGAGCAGCCUCAUUAAACCAGACAUCACACACAUAAACUCAAACUAGAUACUCUUAUACCUCAGCAAAGGAAAGAACUUACAAUCCGAGGUCCCAAACUUCCCAAACUUGGCUCAGGAAGAUAAAAUUACCAAGAAACAACCCAAGUCUUUCUUCAAACCCUAACCGACCCCAACGCUGGUAAAGAGAACAACACACCAAAAAAAAAAAAAAAAGGCGCAACCUCCAGCUGAAGCUUCACAGUAUGAUCAGUACGAAGCCCAGCUGGUUGGAUUGAAUGACUUGGCUUGAGAAAACCCAACUGAGGCUCAACUGUAGCAGGGUUCAACCAACCUAGUCUCUCUAGGAGCUUGUUGACUAAGUUACCCACAGCAUAGGCAAUGCCUGAGACCAUCACUGCUGAAGUAACGUAGUACAGUAUGGUUUUGAAGUAUGCCAUGAACUUGUGUUCCCCCCGUGUGUAUGCCUUUGCAAUUGCAAGAAUAACAAUGCACAAAAGAGAAGCUGCUGCAACUGCCAAAAUCUUGUAAUCCCUAUCAUCACUCUCACGGAAUGUGAAGCCGUAUAUUACAGGUGGGAUUAGGCCAAAUACAAGGUACGAUAGCACAGCUAGCAUUGCAUGAAGAAAGAAAUGCUCUUUCCGACCAAGUUGUUCCUCGUAUCUGCUUUCAUUGGUUUCACUAGAGUCUCCGUAUCUCAAGUCCCUAAGCUGUGACCAAUUAAGCAAGUUGAGAAUUUCUAAGAUAGGCUACCAUUAUCAGGGCAAAGGGGUGGAGUUGGAUGAGCUAAUUUCUUUAGCGAGAAUAACUUACAUUAUGAGCAAGGACGACAAGUCCACCAACGAGGUUUGCCAAUCCAAGUGCCACAAUGUUCACUGAAACAAUUCAGAUGCGUGAGUGAAACUUCACCAAUCUCAGGAAUGAAAUAGAUCGGCUAUAAAACUUCUAGCUUAAGAUAACGUCUAAACUUUUGAUUUGCGUACUGAAUCAGUUUUGAUCAGUCUGACUUCUUUUGCAAGGGUUAAUUGUAGCGCCGAUAGAGCAAUCUAGUUCUUGAAAAUUUUGUGUUUUGAGAAAUUAAAAUCACGCCUAGCAGGGACGUUACGCCUAUUAUUUCAACUGAAAAUUCUACCCUUAUUCCGCUUAAACAAUCUGGUCAAACUUGGAAAUUGAAGGCUAAAAGCCUAAAAGUAGUUUAAUACUUAGAUUAACUGAGAUUUAAUUAACAUGGCUUCUUUUAAUAUUUGGGGAUAUUAUAUAGGGGAAGGAAAUGAAAGUGGAAAUAGUUAUGGUGAAAGAGGCUUACAUGUGGUAGCGUCAGAAGCUGCUGCUGAUGAAACAACACUUAAGCUUGCAAUUGACUCCAUCAUACCUCCAUAUACGAUACUUUUGACUAUCUCCAAUGACCUGGAACUUGGUGAUUGGAUGACGGUCUCUGGUAUUCUUACAUCAGUUAGGAAAACAUCUGUUAUUGGGAAAAUUGGAGGAACAACAGGUGGUGUGUCUCCAACUUGAAUUCUCACAUCAUCUCCUUCGAUCUCGCUUUUUGGCUUCUUAACAAAAAUUUCUGCAAAAAUUACAAUUGAAUUUUGUUAGUUAUAGUAAUAUGAAAUGCUAAGCUACGGAAAAGUUUAUGCUUUUAAUGAAUCUAUGAAGUCUUGUAGCAUAAACAAGGAAUAGUUUCAGUAACAUGUUCUAGACUUCUAGUACACAACUGGUUGAGGUUUAAGAACAUCAUGUUCAAUUUUGAUUACAGUGAAACUGCGGACAGUUUGGAUUUUGUCACUGCAUAUUCUAAAUUUCACACAUCUAUUCUUUCAAGUAAAUUUUACCAGUUUUGUCAAUGAUGCCAAUAGGCACAAUAUUUCCAUUCAGUACAGAUCCUUGUGCUGGUAAUGCAUUUGGUAUGAAAGUCUUGACACCAUCUCCUGCACAAACUAAUCGAAGUUUGGAUCACCGGAAAUUAACUUUAAUAACAACCUGAACUUGGGUGUAUUUCACCAAACAGUAUUUUCAUGUCCUCAUAUAUAAAAUGAUAUAUAAGCUACGCCUCGUCAGAUCUUAACUGUUCUUUCAAGUAAAUUUUACCAGUUUUGUCAAUGAUGCCGGUAGGCACGAUAUUCUUAUUCAGUACGGAUCCUCAUGAUAGAGUAGAAUUUUCAAUUACGUUUACCUAGAGUUGCCGCGUUACUUUCAGUCAUUCCUACUGGUGGUAUCGCAUUCGGUAUGAAAGUCAUCACACCUUCUCCUGCACAAGCAAAUUGAAGUUUGUAUCACUGGAAGUUGAUGUUAAUAACAACCUGAACUUAGUAUAUUUCACCCAAACAGUGUUCUCAUAUGUUAGUGCAUAAACUGGUACAUAAGCCAUGCUUUGUCAGAUCUCAACUGUUCUUUCAAAUAAAUUUUACUAGUUUUGUCAAGGAUGCCAAUAGGCACAAUAUUCCCAUUCAGUACAGAUCCUUGCAAUGGAGUAGAAUUUUCAGUUGUGUUUACCUAUAGUUGCAACCUUGCUUUCAGUCAUUCCAACUGGUGGUGUUGCAUUUGGUAUGAAAGUCGUGACACCAUCUCCUGCGCAAGCAAAAUUAAAGUUUGCCAUUGGAAGUUAACUUUAAUAACAACCUGAACUUGGGUAUAUUUCACCCGAGCAUAUAUUCUCAUGUCUUCAUGCAUAAACUGAUAUAUAUAAGCUAUGCAUUGUCAACAGGCUUCCGGCAAAUGCCUAAAGUGUUUCUGUAAUUUGCUGUAUGUGGUAGUGGAAACGAAGAGGCAAAUGCUUAUUGGAUAGGGAACAAUACGGAAAAUACACAAAAAGAAAAAAAAAAUAAGAAAACAGCAUAAUGGUAGACCAUUGAUAAUCAACCGCGCUUUUUGUGUUAAUUACAAACUCAAUCUAAAUAGGCAGGGGCGGGUGAGGGAAUGUGGCUAGCGAGUGAUUAGGAAAUUGACACCCUGCUAAUGCUAAACAACCCUGCCAAUGAGUUCUUGGCUGCAUAAAUCACUUAAUUAAUCUUAAACAUUUCAUGUUUCUCAGAUACAAGUGAAAAACUACUGAGUUUGGUGUGACCAAACUCAGACUUCAAUACUGAUAUCGAGUACACAAGUCUGCAACCUCUUAAGUAUCAUUUUCGCACAAAAGUUAACUUCCGAAAUAAAGUUCCGACGUAAGGCAAUCGUAUCAGAAGCAAAAAUGAUUUAUUAACAUAGCAAAUUGCUCUCUCAAACUCUCCAAGUGCAAUGCAAAGGGGGUAAGGUAACACGCACCUUGAUCAUUGGCCUGAUCUCUUGGCUCAUUUGUGACUUUGGGGGAGGAAGAAUCCAAAUCUGCUGAGAGUUUUUCAUGUGGUCUUCUCUUUCCAAAAAUCCAGAAUAGAUCAAAGCCUUUUCCUGUGGUUAAUAACAGACAACUUAAAAUUGAACCGUGCCAUCAUCUCAGCAAGAAGUGACAAAAUCUAAUGCCUUAAAUGGAAUUUCUCAAAAUGCAACUCAAGAGUAAAUUUAUAACAAUUUCUAGCAUGUUGUAUUUAAGUAUCCAUGAUGCUGGCUGCUACAACUAAUAGUCUGUGAAACAAUUCAUCAAGGAUUAAGAAUGCACCAACUUUCUCGACCAGAAUAUGUUACCUUUGUCCUGUGCUGUGACAGAUGUGGGCAUACUCACAUCUGGUGUUUGUUGCUCUUGUUGGAGAAGUGGCGAGCUUUCAGGCCCUUUGCCAGCUCCAAAGAUUCGAAAUGGAUUCAGUCUAUUCCCUGCUUAAUUCACAAAACCAUUGUACUUGUAGUCAACAUAGGGUUACCGGUAUAGCACAUCAAUCAAGAAAAGGAACUAGAAAAUCAUUGAGGCUAUUGAUAUAUCUUGCCAUGCUACUGUUAACGCACUGAACCGUAGCUGAUUCAAAAUUACUAUCAAAAAUUGAUAUUAUUUUGCCAAGAAAACACGGAAUCAGGAUUAUUGACAGAUUUUGUAUCGGAACCAGGGAGCUAGACCUGGCAAUUGGGCGGGUUGGGCGGUUUUGGGCGGAUUGAUAUUGGGUUUUUAUUUAAAUGGGUUAUACCCAAUCCGCCCAACUUUAAAUUGGGUUACUUUUGGGUUGGAUCAUUUUGGGUUAUCUCAAACCCAUGACCCAAAUAUGACCCAAUAUAUUAAUUAAUAAAUUUUGAUACAUAAAUUCUCUUAAAUAUAUUUUUACAUACAAAAAAUUUUUAAAAGCAACAAGAAGAAUACCUAAUCACGAAAAUAUUCGAACAACCAUGUUCAUAUGGCACAUAUUUAGAAUUAUCCAUACAGGUUGUAGCUUCCAAAUUAAAGCAAUGAACGAAAAAGAAAAAAUCUGUUGAACUGAGAACUGAAGUUGCCUAAAUACUCAAUAUUUCAAUCCUGGAUUUUUGGAGAUUAGAGAGAAGUACUCCUCGACGCUUAGGAGCUCAAGAUCACCAAACGUAAAAGGCUAAAAGUACAUACGAAAAUUACCCAAAAAGACAUAGAAUACGUACAAAAUUGUUUGUAGGAUAAAAGCAAUUUGUCUAAGAUCUAAAUUUGCUAAAGCAAAGUUUUCACAACACUGACAAUCUAUCCAGGAGUUACUCCAAUAGACAACAUACAGGUGAAUCCAUUUACUACCCCUAACAUACAGGUGCGAAGCUGGUGGUGGUGGAGGUUUAUUUGUUUUUUAAGUUGGGUAAUGGGUACCCAACUUAAUUACCCAAACCCGCCCAAAAUAUGUAUGGGUUUUUAUUACCCAACCCAAAAUUAACCCAACACCCAAUUUACCCAACCCAACUUCUGAAAUUAGUGGAUUGAUUGGGUGGGUUUUUGGGUUUUGGGUAUAAUUGCCAGGUCUACAGGGAGCUAAAACGGAUUCAGGAUUAUUGACAAAUUUACUAUCCGAGAUUUUUUUUUUUUUUUUGGUGAGGGGAAGAAUGGGGUAGGUGGUGCCAGGAAAAUUACAUGAACUUGUGUAAGACAUGGAUGCAUAUAGAAGCAAGUAGAAUGCUAUCACUCCUUUAUGUGGGUGAAAAUUUUUGGGUCAAGUAUGCAGGAUAAGAGGUGAGCCAAUUUAACUUUAUAUGCAAAAAUUCAAACUUACAACCCUGAAUUCAUGGAAUACAUGAUAAUGUUAAAAUUUUAUUACAAGCCCAGAAAAAGCAAAAGAAUAAGUAUAUAGGAAAUGCUUGAAAACAAGAGGGAAGUUAGGAAGCAGUUAUAAGUAGGUUACCGGAAGGAACAAAUACGCUGAAGCAUGCUAAGCAUCCAAACAGGUCAUCACGCUGAGUUUCUUUUGGAGUUUGAACCCUCCUUUGCCUUAUUUUCCUACGCAGAACCACCUUUGUAAUACGACUGCUACAAUUAGGACAGUACAUGCUAUAAUCAUCAUGAGUGUGUAUCCUCUCCACUGCCCUCUCAAACUCCAGUUCUAUUUCUUCCUCGUCACUUGUUUCCUCCAAUACAUCAUCAACCUCUACACGUUCAUCCGUUUCUUCCUGCAGCUGUGGGUUCGUGGAGGUCGGCAACUUGACCUCCUUAUUGUGGAUGACAGCACUCAGAACCUGGUUAAUAGCUACAUCUUUUAGUUUGGCACCCAACUCCUCCACUUUGACAUUAAAAUGAGACCAUUCCGGUCCACUACCUACAAACCAUGCAUUGUUUGCACAAAACUCAAAAUCAGAUAAUGUGGGAGCGAGUUUCCAGAAGUGCGCCAUGUUGGCUGAUGAAUGUGCAAUAUGCUUUUGAAACAAAGAUGGAAAGGCAAAAAAAAUGGCGGGGAAAAAUGCAUAUUUGCUCAUAUAUCUUGGAUUUAUAAUUUACAGAUAGCUAACAUCUGUGAUCAUAUAUAAAACAGCUUAACGAAUAUCAUAAAGGAGAGAAAAAAAAAAAAGAAUACCAUUAAGGAAAAUUUCCUGGAAAAUAAUUACUAUGCGGGUGGAAAUCUGCUAAAAUUUUUAUGACUAUGUCUUCUUUUUUUUUCCACUACUCUAUAUGGGCAUGUACUAACCUCUAUUUGCAAAAAUGAAGGGUUUCUGAUGAAUAUGAUCAACCCGAGGAUUUCUAUUUUGAUACGUCCAAAUGCAUUGGCGACACUUCCACAUUCCUUCCAUGUCAAGGAGUAACUUAGUUGUAAUUUACCAAAGUUUAAAAUAUUCCGAAGUUAAACUUGUUUUUCAAGAACAAAAUAUGAUUUGCAUGAAUAUGUAUUAGAUAUAUGCUGGUGCACGUGGUACGUACCAAGAUUUUGCAACAGAUUAAUGUAUGCUGGUGAGUUUGACGUUAGUAAGAGAACUCCACAGACUCAGAGACGACAAUUAGUGGUUGAUGGAACAUAAAUCAUAUACCAUUAAGUGCAUACUUUGAUGCAAAAGUCUUGAGCAAUUUUCAGGAGAAAGAGUACUAUUGGUUGUCACAUUUAAGAGGGACGAUGAAAAAAUAAUCAAUAAAUUCGUGUUCUUAAUUUGUAUACAAACAAAAAAGGGUAUAUUAAACUUUAUCCUCGAUUUAGAGCUUUUCUACAUAAUCUCCUUAUAGUUUUAAAAACUAUAUAUAGUCCCUUAUAGUUUGGACUAAAGUGUCAAGGUGACGAAAUUUACAUUGCAGAGUCAACUAAAAUAUUAAAAGUACCCAUGUAUAAAGUUUAAAAUUAUUUAUUAACUACACGAGGGUUAUAAAUAUAUUUGAAAAUUAUAAGAAAAUUAUGUGGUAAAACACUAAAUCAUAAGGGGGUUAUAUGAUAAAGUAUAAAAUCAUAAGGGGUUAAAGUAUUAUGUAUAUUAUAUUUAUAUAUUUUGAUCACUUCAACCAUCUAUGUUUUUAAACAAGGGUAUUCUCGAAAUUUCUAUUAGUUCCGUUAUCUUUAAUCUAAAUUAUGCUGGGAAUUAUGUAUAACUUUUGAAAUUAUAAGAGAUUUAUAUAAACAAUUGCUAAACCACAAGGUCCAGAAAAAAAAAGAGUUACUCCCAAAAUUUGAAAAACAUGAAAGAAAAGAAUCAGUCGUCCAUUCGAGGGGUACGCUCGGUUCUUCUAGUUUUGUCCUCAGCUAAAUCGUCAAAAUACCUACCGAAUCUCAAACGCCCUAAUUAAUUACUCAGAAUUCUAGGCUGGUCCAGAAGGGCGUUGACUUGGGCAUGGCACCAACUGGCGGAAAUUUAUAAGAAAAACCUCAAAUCCUCAAGAUAAAUAAGUUAUCAUCAUGAUUAGUUGACUUUUAGGGUGCACAGUCCCAAAGGUGAAGGUCACCUUACUUGGUCAAAUUUACAUGCUGCGGUGAGGAAAGAGAGAAAAGGCAUCUGAUCAAAGGAACGAAACGAAGGUAAGCCCAAGUCUUAUUAUUAUUUUGGGAUUGCAAAGAUAAAAUUAGUCAGGUAUAAACACAAAAUGAUCUGGGGGGAAACAAACCCCGGCUGAGGAUAGAAGUAACUUCAGGAGCUGUUACUUCAAUAAUAGCAAAUUAACAAAGGAUCUAGCCGGAAACAUAUCCUAUUAAGUACUUGGUAAGCCCAAGUCUGUGGUCGAGGACAAUGAACCAAACGAGGUUAAUAUUUAAUAAUGAAAGGAGGAAAUGGUAUACAAGAAAGGUCAGUGAAAGAGAAACAUCUGGUACAUGCACAAUGUUUUUCAUGUGAAAGAAAGAAAGGGUACGACGUUGAGAAGACUUUCAUACGUCCUUGUUCAUUUCCCUUGUUCGUAUGCGAGAAGAAGUGGAUAAAGAUCGAUCUUUUAUCAAUUUAGUGUUACACAGAAUCCAUUUUCUUUCGACAUUAUGUUGAUGGAGGGACAGUGAAUUGUCCAUUUCAGAACUCAGUGGAACAACGCCCAAGGCACUCCUUAAGACCCAUAACCUUAUCCUGUGUCGCAGCGAUUUUACUGACCCUCCAUUUUUAAAUUUAGAACCAGCAGACUGACAAUGCUCGGAAAAAAAAAAGGUUGCAGUAAAUAUAUAUAUAUAUAUGUAUUGGCAUCACAAAUUGCCCUUAAAAAAAAUGCAUGAAAUUUGACUAUACUACCAGUAAGUAAAAUAUUAGUAUAGCAGUAAUUGAUUGCUCACGUACCUUCAUUUUUGUCGAAGUAAACAAUCUCUUCAGACGUCUUUUCCACCUCCUUGUGGUCGCCGUCCACCCUAACACUCGCCACCUCCAUCUUGGGAGUAGUAUCCAACAAAUCUACAGCAGCUACCUCCUCGGCGGCGGGGAAGACAGUAGCGUUACCUCCACUGUUGGAAGCUACAGUUGGGAUGUUGGCGGAGCGACGACGUAGCAGUAAAGCCUCUUCAACCACCUCCUCAACCUCCUCCUUGAAGUGAUGCAACAUUUCUUUUUUCUUCUCUACCUCCGUCCUAAACUGCUGCAUGACUUCCAUAAUGUCGUUCCUUCCUGGCAGAGCUAGCAAGUAGUAACUACGAUUUCCCAACCACCACCUUCUCACCAGCUAGAGAGAGAUCUCCCUGUGGUGUAUAUUUUAUGUGAGAUGUAUUUAGUGGUAUCAACAGAAAUAGGAAUGACUAGCUGCUGGCUAGCUUGCAAAAUUGCAAGUUUUUGUUUGGCCCAGCCUUCUUAAAUAUAUAGCCUAGAGAUGAGGUCACUCCAAUUAAAAAGUGAAUAUUUCAGGGGAGGAUGGGGGUUUUUAAUAAUUUCACUAGACUCCUUUAAAGUUUAUAAAAUUAUACAAACAACCCCUAUAGUUAAAGUUUUGAUAACGAAAUUAGUCCAAUUAUAAAAGAUAACAUUAAAAAGUAUUUUAAGGAGAAAGAUGAAAUUUUGAUUCCAUAAAUACCCCUUAUGCAUGUGUAUAAGUUGUAUUAGUAAAUAAAUAAAAAUAAUUAAUACACAUACUUCAUUAUUCAAAAAGUUCACAUUUAAUAAAUUAGACAACACAAAUAAAUAAAAAAUUACACCAAUUAUUACAAGAUUCAGCAAAACAUAUUAGUUAUCUCUUUUAGCAUGAUAUUUGCUAUGAUUCUUUGAACAGAAAAAAAUUUUGAAUUUUUCCUUUCUUUUUCCUUUAUUUCUCUUUUACUAAUAUCUAACGAUAAAGUAAUUAGAGUACUAAUUAACUAUUAGUAACUAAUUAAUAAGAAUAAUUGUUAAAAAUUUCUUUAAUAAUGAACGAUGACUUGUCUUUACAAAAUAACAUCAAUUGAUAUACCUAAUGAAGGAAGGAUGGAAAAGAAAGGUAAAAUUUGAAAAUUUAAAAUCAUGAGAAUCAUAGUAAACAACUAAACAUCAUAUUAAAAGAGAUAACUAGUCUGUUUUAUUGAAUCUUGUGAUCAUUAAUGUAGAUUUGUUACUUAUUUGUGUUGUCUAAUUUAUUAAAUGUGAACUUUUUGAAUAAUGAAGUAUGUGUAUUAAUUGUUUUUAAUUUUUAAUUAUUUUUAUUCAAUUACUAAUAUAACUUAUAUACAUACAUAAGAGAUAUUUAAGAAAACAAAGUUUCAUCUCUCUUUUUAAAGUAUUUUUUUAAUAUUAGUUUUUCUAACUGGACUAAUUUUACUAUAAAAAAACUUAACCUCAUGGGAGGUUUGUGUAAUUUUAUAAAUUUUAACGGAGGUUAGUGAAAUUAUUUGAAACCUCAGAGGCGGUUUCUGAAAUUAUCCCAUAUUUCAGUGUCUGAGAGCAAGCUUCUAGGUCAACGAACGAGCUGCUCGUGAUUACUCCUGGCCAGCUACCAUUUUCCUCCUGUUUGAACGCAUGACUAUAGCUGUCCCUUUAUUCCAUUCACAAGCCAACCUAAAAAUAUAUAUAUAUAUUUUUUCUUUCACUUUGACUAGUCAUUUUUAGCUAUUAGCACCAUAUAUAUAUGUAGUUAUCUACAUCAGAAACGACUCAGGAAUUUCAAGAGUUGUCGUAUCAUAAGGUCCUUACUUAAAUCGAAUCUGUUAUCUGUUUCAGUAUCAUCUAUAUCUUGAUUACUCAUAUCAAUGUCCUCAUCUACAUCUAAAUUAGAAACAACUCAAGAAUUGUUGUAUCGUAAGGUUCUAAGCUCGAUUCCCAUGGCCAUCGGUGGUAUCUAUACUUAAAGAGGAGCUAGCGAUUUUCAAGUGAAGAAGGCGCGACAAAGAUCAGAUGGGCAAAUCAAUAAUCCUAAAAUUUUGGGAGGAAAUUCGAUUUAAAAGAGGAUUGUCUGCAAUUGAACAUCCUGACAUCUUCAGUCUUCACUUCACUGUGCUUGCAAGAGCACCGAUCCUUGAUCAAUUCAACCACUGAACUGAACUGAACUGAACUGUUGUACCAGCUUCUCGCAACAAUUACAUGUGUCACUGCUCAAAAGUAAAGCCAAUGUUGGGAGUAGACUCAUCCCCGCUGCAGUAAUUGAUACUCCAGCUAAUCUCGUCCCGCUGCAGUAAUUGAUACUCCAGUCAAUGCUAAUUUUGGAACCAGACUUGUCUCUUGCCCCUGCCCGAACCGAGUCUCGACUAAAUUUUACCAAGCUCGAACUCGAGCUCAAGCUCGGCUAGCCGGCAAAUUUCGAGCUCGACUCGAAUCAAGUAGAGCUGAGCUCGAAAAAAAUAAAAAAUAAUUAUUUUAUUUUAAAAAAAUAAAUAAAAUAAUAUUUUUUCUUAAUAAAUAAUAAAAUAUUAAGGAUAUAUACGUAAUUUUACUAUGAAAAAAAGAUAAAAAAUAUAUAUAAUAUACGUAAUUUUAUUAUUAAAUAAAAAUAAAAAAAAAAUAUAUAUAUAUAUAUAUACCAAACUCGCGAGCCGGCUCGCGAGCUAACGAGCUUAAUAUUCUGAGCUGGAGCUCGAGUUUGACUCGAGCCGGCUCGAGCUCGAUUAAUAUUGAACUCGACUCGAGCUUGAUCGAGCCAGCUCGCGAGCGGCUCGAUUUGUUUGCAGCCCUAUCCCUGCUGCACCAAGUGACUUGGAGCGGAUCGAUUCGUUUGGCACCUACUCCUGCUGCACCACCAAGCGACUUGAUAAUGAAAUAAAUGUCCUUAUUAAUCCAUGAUUAGCGGAUGCGGAAAACGUGGGCUCAUUACGUGGUGGUGGUGGAGACUGACUCUCUUAUCUUCUCAUACUUCAUUUCGAUUGAGAAAAAAAAAAAAAUGAAGCGUGAGGCACCAUACGUUUUAGAAAACGAGUUUUAGAUCUGGUUUUCUUCUGUCACACCACCACUGGCACUGAUCGCUGCUCUGUCCGUAUCCUGAUAUUCGGAUUCUCUUCUCCUCCUCCAUAUAUUUAAUUACUAAAUCCUAGCAUUCUACGAAUCUUCUUCGGUAUUGGCUAGGUGUUGCCUUCAUGCCAGCCAGCCCAUGAGUUCCUAAAAUUGGAGCAAAACAAAGCCAGAGAAGCUCGACGUUAAUCACAAGGGGAGCAUAACUUGACUUUGGUAUUUUCGAAAAUGAUGGCCAUCUUGUUUGUACUUUUCCUUUUAGUAGACCUUUCUUAUCUCACGGGUAGGGGUGCUAGCAAGUCUGACUCGAGCUACUCGUUAAAUUUAGUAAGUUGAGUUCGAGCUCAAGAAAUAAAUACUCGAGUGCUCGUCGAGCUUAAUCGAGCUUUCAUAUUUUAUUAUAUUAUAUAUUUUUAUUAUAUUAUAUAUUAUAUAUUUUAAAAAAAAUUAUAGAUUUAUUUCAAAACUCGAGCUCGGGCUUGUUAUUUUACUCGAGUUUACUUGAGCUCAAACGAGUCGAGCUCGAGUUUAGUUUUAUUUCAUCGAAUCGAGCUCGAGUCCAAAUUUUUUUACUCGAUCGAGCUCGAGCUCGAAUUUGAGUAGCACAAAUUUUGAUCAAGCUCGAGCUCAAGUAUGGUGCUAUUCGAGUUCGACUCAGGUCGAUAGCACCUCUACUUACGGGCCAUCUUCUCUUCUUAUUAUAACUUUGCUAUUAUAGUCUGCUAAUAAUGCUAAAACUGGACCACCGCUAUAACCAAGCACGAAACAGGAACGGUAAGAAUGUUUAUCGUCAUCUGCUGCAAAGAUUUAUCAUCCAGAAUUAAUGCAAAGAAAAUAAGAAAUACCAGUAAUAGUUAAACUGCUUGAAUGUGUAAGAGACAGGCAUGCCAGCGUAGAUAUUUUUAGUAUAGAAAAAAAAAAAAAACGAUAGGAAUAACCUGAGUAAAUGAACUGGAUAUCUUUUACUACUUUUUAGUUACAUCAAAGGAUUGGUUUAGGAAUACUUUGCAGCAUCAUAUAUGAUCGUUACGAGCUGACAACAGUCAAGAGUUGGCGGCUGUUCACUAUACCAAUCCACACGGUAUUUUCUUUUAGAUUUGGUAUUUUCUGGACAGCGUUAUUUAUUUAGACUUUUGUCUUUUACGAUCUGUACACCAUUUAUUUAGACUUUGGCAGCCAAAUAUAUACAGUAAAAGACGAAAUUAGUGGAGCACAUAGCAAUUUCUUUUUUCUGUUUUGUUUUGUUUCAUUUAGUGUCUGAAAACAACAACAACAAUAAUAAUAAAAUAAAGAGCAGCGGGUCACCUGUAGGAGUGUCAAUUGAUCGGAUUCGGGUCGGAAUUGAUCAUUUUAUAUUCAAAUCCGUUUUUAUGCAGUAGAUUCGGACUCGACCCGUAUGCUCGUCUGGUCUUGCUUUUAAAAUCCUGAAGCAGGAUCUGACUGAUCCGGGUCGGAUCGGGUCCAAAUUUAAAUGUUUCAUCUAAAAUCGAUUACAAAUCCAAUCUCCAAAUUUAAACAAACCAAAUUAUAAAGUUGAAUCACAAAAAACUCGCAAUAGCCAUUUCAAAACUAACCACAAUUAAUCUACAUAGUCAUUACUAAAUUGUUAAUUUGAUAAAAGAAUGUAUUUAGAAAUAUUUAUAUUUUAUAAUUAUUAGUUUAUCGUUUGGGCCCGAAUCGGAUACGGAUUGAAAUCCUAUAAUUCGUAUCCGACCCUUUUUUUGUUAGAGUAAACGGGUUCGGAUUUGGGUAUCAAAAUUAUUUUUCAAUCCAAACUCGAAAAAAUUUAUCGAAUUCGGGUCGGAUCCGAAUCUAGACCCGACCCGUUGACACCCCUCAUCACCUAAAAGCCAAUUAUCACAACUGAGUCGUUUGUUUCAAAAUUUGAUUGAAAAAAGAAAAAAGAAGUUGGUUUUAAAAUGGAAGGUCCAGUGCCACGUCGGGUCAGAUUAAUCUAAACCAUUGAAUUGUUUUGUACAAUUGCUGGGGCGAUUGGAAAGGAACCGAUCCCAAAUUCAGGGUUGGCUGUACCUUUUCAGUCUACCGGGUAAAGUUAGUUGAUUUAAAGCAUCCAAAGGUGCUCACAAGCCCAAUGGGAUGAGAUUAACAACACGGGCGGCACCAGCUUGUUUCCUUGCAAAUUAGGGAUCCCAAGCCUAGUCCAAUUUUGCUUUGCCUUCGGAUCCAAGAAUUCGUUUAGGCACAGGGUAAUUAACUCCUUUUGGCAACUUUAACAUAAAAUUAUUUAAGUAAGAAAGCCCUUUUCCUUUAGAUUAUUCAUUCCAACCUUUUUAAUGGAAUCUCAUCUCUUAUAAAAAUUUAAGAAUGUUCAAAAUAGCAGGGUGUCGAAUUUAUCCUUAUAAAUAUUUUUAAUGCAUCACCAAGUCUUAACGUAUUUGUGCGCUCAAUAAGUAAAUGAAUGUAAUUUUUACAUAACAAAUAAAUUCUCCUCAUGUUUAAAAUACAAUUUUCUUACUAGCAAACAAAUGUUUUAAGAUACGUUACUAGCAAACAAAAAUUUAAAUUUAUUGCCCUAACAAUAAUGUUAAUUUGUGAUGCUAAUGCCUUGCUCUAUCUUCAAUAACAACUGGAAUGACUUGGUAAACUUUUCUUAUGGCAGCUUUAGGAGAACCACUCUAUAGGUCAAUGGGAUGAGAACCCCACCCGCACUGAGAAAAGUUCAAAGGAGAUAACAAAGCGUUCCUUUGAUCUAGUGAAAUUUUUAUAUUUAUUAGCUUCUUAUACACAGUUUCUCCGGACUCUCUUUUCUAUAAAUUAGGAUAGAUUAGAUUAUAAAAAUAUUAUCGUUAUCGUAAAAAAAUUUAAAAAAAAUUCAGCCUUUAGGAGCGUUUUCUUGACUAAUAUCCAGAAUUUCAUUAAAAAACCAUUAACUAAUAUCCCCGCAUUUCAUUACACUAUUUUCAUAGUAUCCAUUAACGCGAAACAAACUAUUAUGUCGAACUGAAAUAAAAUACCAACACCUUUUCUAAGGCCAACAACACCAACUCGAAAUGAAUUUAAAAAGAAUAAAAUUGAUGAGCAUAUUUGGGAGCUGACAAAGAUAUUUCCGGAAUCAGCUCUGAGUUGUUACUGCAUAAUAGUAGAGGGCCUGGAUUUUGUAUUUGUGUGUCCAGAGGGCCUGAAUUCUUCACGCAAACCUCAAUUUUGUAUUUGUGCGUCCAUAGGGCAGGGGAGAGGGGCUGAAUUCUUCACGCAAACGUCAGAUAAUUCCAACUUCAGCAAAGUGCAAGUUGUUCGGCGAUGCUUGACUACUACAGGGCUACGCAUGAUCCAUCAAAUUUAUUAUUAUUAUUUUUUUGAUCGACAUAAGGGUGUCCGGAUUAAUUCUUACGGGACCCAACUAAUUUCCUGUGACCCGGACCAGACGUGCCAAUCUGACCCGAACGCGAUAAGUGCGCGGAGGAAUCCAACGGAGCGGAUAUUCGAAUUUGGGACCUUAGAGUCACAGGUGAGAGGCGCUGCCGCUGGAUCAUUUACGCGGACCAUCAACUUUUCUUUCCAUUCCCAUCCAAACGAAGAAAGCUUUAUUUAUUAUUAUUUUUUUUUUAAGGAAAAACGAAGAAAGUUUUAAAGACACCACCAAGUCCAUAUGCGUAAUAUCACCCAAGAGGCAAGAACCCCUUUUUUUUUCUUUUUUUUUUUUCUUUUCGUUUUUCACCCAAGAACCCAUCUGAUUACAGAGUUUUAUUGCUCCUACCAUACCAUGCCAUAUUGUUGCAUAGGUCUCAUCGAAAAUAGCCACAUUCUCCCUUUCCCACCGACCACAUGGUCGACCACACGGUCUCGGUCGCACACCAGUAGCUUCCAAAAACAGCAAAAUAUAACCAGAAGAACCCCAGCUGCUAGCAGUACCAGUAGUCAACAACGUUCCCCACAGCCUCUGUCGCACACCGAUAUCUUCCAAAAACAACAAAACAUAACCAGAAGAACCCCAGAUGCUAGCUAGUAGUAAAUAACAUCGCACGCAGGCUUCUGUGGCGUUCAGUCUCUGUGGGCAAUCCACACACGCACACACAGGGAGCAAGAGGGAUUUUGUUGUAAUAAACAAGAAAAAGAAAGAAAAGAUGUUGUCGAGGGGGACAUUUUGUGUAUGCAAUUCAAUCACCGACCACAGCCAUGCCGCUGCCCCGGGCCUAAGUGGUCAAUGCCAUCAAAGAUUCUUCAAUUUUAUCAAUCGGCGCAGAAAUUUUGUCAUCUACUCUUCUGGGGCGGCUCAGAAAGGUCCGGUUCUGGCUGUGGCUACCGACGAGCCCAAUGCCAAGCAAGCCGGAUUCCAGCCCAGCCUGGCUGACCGCCUCAGGCUUGGGAGCUUAACCCAGGAUGGCUUGUCUUACAAGGAGAAGUUCAUUGUCAGGUGCUAUGAGGUUGGAAUUAACAAAACUGCCACCGUUGAAACCAUUGCCAAUCUCUUGCAGGUACUCUAAUUUCACAUUAACUUUUGGUACUAUUUACCAAAGAUUGCAACUUUAUGGGGUUUUACCUUAGAAUUUGCCAAUGCAUGCAUGCCUUCUAUGGUUUUUGAAAGAUGAAAUUGACAAUCUUCUAUUUUUGUUUUUUAGUAUUUAUGCUUAUCAAGCAGGUUUUAUUUUUUCAGUUGUGGGAAAUCGCUGUGUUGUUGUUGUUUCUCUGUCGAAAUACUAGCAAGCUGUAAAUUCAUAUGGGCUCUUAUAUAACUAGCAUUUCUCUGUGUUUGCUUUGGGUUUUAUGAUAAAGUUUGGCAAAAUUAGUGAACAAAUUACAAGUACAGGAAUGGUUUGUCGCUGGAGUCUUCUUGACUCUGAUCCUUGUUAAUCUCUCAAUUGACAUUUUGCUGUUUUCUUUAGGAGGGGAGGGGGGGAUGUCUUCAAAUCAUGCUAGCAUUGUUUGCUUUUUCUGAUUGAUUUGAGUGUGUAUGAUUCGAGUCAUUGGAACCUUACACAAGGAGGGGAAUGAACAAUCAGUGGAGACUGAAGUAGAGUACAUUCAUCUUUUUCUGUCCCUCUUGGUCAAUAGGUUGGCUGGAACCUUUGGUGGUUUGUCAGACAAGUUUGUUUCUUCCUACCCACUCUGUUCCCAAAGUUUUUUUCUUUUCCUACUGCCCCAGCCAUUGUAGCUUGUGUUGCUGGUUCAUCUCUCCAGUUACGCUAGAUUUUUGUUUUGUUUGGAUAAUUUUCUUUCUUGAAUAUAGCAAGCCAUGCAUAAUGAAUUUGAGAACAGAAAUGAAAGAUGAGUGAGCUUUUCUCAUUUUUGCUGAAAUUGUGUUGCUUUGUUAAAUUACACAUUUAAAAAUUUGUUGUGCAGGAAGUUGGAUGCAACCAUGCUCAGAGUGUUGGGUUUUCAACGGAUGGAUUUGCAACAACAAAUACUAUGAGAAAACUGCACCUCAUAUGGGUGACUUCUCGCAUGCAUAUUGAAAUUUACAAGUAUCCUGCUUGGUAGUAACCACACCACUCAUUUUGCAUUCAUCAGUCAAAGCAAUGGGCUUUUUCUCUUUUAUAUGUGUUUC
rnacentral:lncRNA from 1 species